rnacentral:rRNA from 1 species
UACGUAGGGUGCAAGCGUUAAUCGGAAUUACUGGGCGUAAAGCGUGCGCAGGCGGUUUUGUAAGUCUGAUGUGAAAGCCCUGGGCUCAACCUGGGAAUUGCAUUGGAUACUGGCAGGCUAGAGUGCGGUAGAGGAUGGCGGAAUUCCCGGUGUAGCAGUGAAAUGCGUAGAUAUCGUGAGGAACACCAGAGGCGAAGGCGGUUACCUGGACAGUUACUGACGCUCAGGCACGAAAGCAUGGGGAGCAAAAGGG